ACGGAGGGUGCAAGCGUUAAUCGGAAUUACUGGGCGUAAAGCGCACGCAGGUGGCUGAGAAAGUCGAUUGUGAAAGCCCUGGGCUUAACCUGGGAAUUGCAGUCGAAACUACUCGGCUAGAGUAUGGGAGAGGGUAGUGGAAUUCCCGGUGUAGCGGUGAAAUGCGUAGAUAUCGUAAGGAAGACCAGUGGCGAAGGCGAGUCUCUGGACAGCAACUGACGCUGAGGCACGAAGGCCAGGGGAGCAAACGGGA
rnacentral:rRNA from 1 species